CCGCCGCGGCGGCCGGAUCGUUGCUGCUGGCGUCGGCGGCGGUCGGCGUGGCGCUGCCGGUCGCGGCGGCAGCGGCGGGC
rnacentral:tRNA from 1 species